rnacentral:rRNA from 1 species
GACGAACGCUGGCGGCGUGCUUAACACAUGCAAGUCGAACGGAAAGGCCCCUUUGGGGGUACUCGAGUGGCGAACGGGUGAGUAACACGUGAGUAACCUGCCCUUGACUUCGGGAUAACUUCAGGAAACUGGGGCUAAUACCGGAUAGGAAUCCUUGCUGCAUGGUGGGGGUUGGAAAGCUUCGGCGGUUUUGGAUGGACUCGCGGCUUAUCAGCUUGUUGGUGGGGUAGUGGCUUACCAAGGCUUUGACGGGUAGCCGGCCUGAGAGGGCGACCGGCCACAUUGGGACUGAGAUACGGCCCAGACGCCUACGGGAGGCAGCAGUGGGGAAGAUUGCACAAUGGGCGGAAGCCUGAUGCAGCAACGCCGCGUGCGGGAUGACGGCCUUCGGGUUGAAAACCGCUUUCAGCAGGGGCGAAGCUUGUGGUGACGGUACCUGCAGAAGAAGCACCGGCUAACUACGUG